rnacentral:rRNA from 1 species
AGCGAACGCUGGCGGCAGGCCUAACACAUGCAAGUCGAGCGCCCCGCAAGGGGAGCGGCAGACGGGAGAGUAACACGUGGGAACGUGCCCUUUGGUUCGGAACAACCCAGGGAAACUUGGGCUAAUACCGGAUAAGCCCUCACGGGGAAAGAUUUAUCGCCAAAGGAUCGGCCCGCGUCUGAUUAGCUAGUUGGUGGGGUAACGGCCCACCAAGGCGACGAUCAGUAGCUGGUCUGAGAGGAUGAUCAGCCUCACUGGGACUGAGACACGGCCCAGACUCCUACGGGAGGCAGCAGUGGGGAAUAUUGGACAAUGGGCGCAAGCCUGAUCCAGCCAUGCCGCGUGGAUGAUGAAGGCCCUAGGGUUGUAAAGCCCUUUCGGCGGGGAAGAUAAUGACGGUACCUGCAGAAAAAGCACCGGCUAACUACGUGCCAGCAGCCGCAGUAAGAC